rnacentral:rRNA from 1 species
GACGAAGGAUGCAAGCGUUAUCCGGAUUCAUUGGGUUUAAAGGGUGCGUAGGCGGCCAGAUAAGUCAGUGGUGAAAUCUCCUUGCUUAACAAGGAAACUGCCAUUGAUACUGUUUGGCUUGAGUAUAGUUGCUGUGGGCGGAAUAUGGCAUGUAGUGGUGAAAUACAUAGAGAUGUCAUAGAACCCCGAAUGCGAAGGCAGCUCACAAAGCUAUAACUGACGCUGAGGCACGAAAGUGCGGGGAUCAAACAGG